rnacentral:rRNA from 1 species
CCCAGACUCCUACGGGAGGCAGCAGUGGGGAAUAUUGCACAAUGGGGGAAACCCUGAUGCAGCAACGCCGCGUGAGUGAAGAAGUAUUUCGGUAUGUAAAGCUCUAUCAGCAGGGAAGAAAAUGACGGUACCUGAGUAAGAAGCCCCGGCUAACUACGUGCCAGCAGCCGCGGUAAUACGUAGGGGGCAAGCGUUAUCCGGAUUUACUGGGUGUAAAGGGAGCGUAGACGGCAGUGCAAGUCUGAAGUGAAAGCCCCAGGCUUAACCCGGGAACUGCUUUGGAAACUGUACGGCUGGAGUGCUGGAGAGGUAAGCGGAAUUCCUAGUGUAGCGGUGAAAUGCGUAGAUAUUAGGAGGAACACCAGUGGCGAAGGCGGCUUACUGGACAGUAACUGACGUUGAGGCUCGAAAGCGUGGGGAGCAAACAGGAUUAGAUACCCUCGUA